UGUGGAGUCCCGCCCACAACCUGGAUACUUGGACCCACUCCACUGAAACCUUAGGCCACAGCUAAAGUUCCUUCCUUCAAAAAAUAAAUCUAAGAAAGAGGAAAAACAAGAAUGACCCCCUUUCAGGCACUCUGUUGGUUUUAUCGGGCCUCUUCUUGCGAAUGUUUGUGUAAAAUUGACAUACUGUGGUCCUUUUCUGCGCAAUUACAGCAAGGAAAAUUCAGAUCCCAAAGGUCCAUCUUUCAUCUGCAUGUCAUUACCGGGUAGCAGGAAUAAGUAGGCUGACCCUCAGUUUGGACCGGGAACAGCUGUCGGACGUUACUGGGAGGAAUGAGGGCGAGGAAGAGAAAGACGUUAGUCCUCGGACCCUUUCCGAGAGUCAUCUCCGGGAGUAAUGCGAAGAUGGACACGCUCAGUCCUGCCUGUGCAUGCGCAUUCGCGUUGUACGGAAUUCCCAAGCCAGCUGCGUAGUUUCUGCCUUGAAGCUAUUUGGCGAGAAGUUUCGCCUGUUCCUUUACUUUGUGGGUCAGGGCUUGGGGUGCUUGAGUGGGAGAAACAGAAAGCCAGCUAGCCCUGGAACCCCUUCUAAGAUCGUCAUCCACCCAGCCAUCCGUAAAUCUGUUCAUCCAUGAAACAAAUAAUCAUUGAGCACCCCUUAUAUGCCAGACACACGUAAGGAUGCAAGGGCCGCGUUCUCAUUCUAGUGGGUGGGGACAGACAGUAAACAAAUAAAUUAUCUACUUAAUUUCAGAUAGUGGUAAGUGAUAGUGAGAAAAUAAAACGGGGUGAUAUUGUCAGAGGCGUUUGAACCAGAGCGACUCCGUUCCGAGUGAGGGCUAGGAAAAUGAAGCUGAGGCUUGCUGGGCUGCAUUCCCAGAAAGUUAGGUAUUCCUAGCCUCUAGAUGUUUACGGUUAAGGGAACAAAUUAAUAACGUUUACUAAACAGACCCAGACUUGGGAGUGUCCGGAUAUCCCGAUAUCUGGAGAAGAAAGGUAUUCCUAAUUUUGCUUUAAAGAUAAUAACGCCGAUUCUUGCAAAACAUAGUAAUUAAGAAAAUUAAUCCUCUAUCACAAACCCUUGUAGCAGAGCACAUCUCCUCAUAUAACAAGCAUUGUACCUAGGGUGGACGCGUUCCUCCUCUUACUUUUGGGAACGUCCUACUCCGUCUAUGGAGUAGCUGUCCUUUCACCACUGUGCUUUCUCAAUAAACUUUCUUUUGCUUUGCA